UUUUAAUUCGUGAAUGAAUAAGAGGCAAACUAUUAAUCAUACAUGAAUAAAACAUAAUAUUUAAAUAAAAAUCAAAUACAACUAUAAUCAUAAAUGAAUAAAAUAUAUUGUAUAGAUAAUUAAAAUAUACCUAUAAUCAUAAAUGAAUACCACAAAACAAAAAAGAAAUUACAAUGUAUAAUUUAGGUAUUUUUCAUUAAUCUUAAAUGAAUAAGACACAAAAAUAGUUGCAAUAUAGAAAUUUUGUUGUGGCUUAUCCAAUGAAGCUGAUAUUUUGAUUUUUCUUUGUUGUCUCUGAUUCUUGUAGUCUUGCAGUUUGUAUAUUGCAACUUUCAAUUUGCUACGCAUAAUGAAUUUUUGUCUUUCAUUCAAUUACCUAAAAAAAGAAAGCAAAAAAAAGUUAAUUAGAAACAAGAGCCCCCACCUUGUAAUUUAACAAGCUUUAGCUCCAACUCAAUAUCUCACUAAUCACAUAAUCAAGGACCCGGUGCAUCAUUUUCACAGGACUUUCAAUUUAUGGGUGCAACUUGCUCAAAUAUAUUAUUCUAGAACUUUUAUUCAUUAAUGGAUAAAGCUACAAUCAUAAAUGAAUAUCAAGGUGGUGCCCCCGAAAAGAAAGUAUGGAUUCGAGGUCACCUUUUGGCAUCUUUUAGCACUUACCAACAUGCGAGUUAUAGUGAUAUCAUUUAUCAAUUUAGGAUACAUGUAUGGAUAUAGAGACUAUAAUGUGUAAUUCCACCACACCUGCAUACUAAAAGCCAUUAUAAAAAACAUCGACUUGUAAGAUGAAAAAGAAGAAAUGAACCAAAAAGACAUCGUUUUACUUAACAAAAUUGGGUGUACAAAUCAGAUUUCAAAGCUAGUAAUCUUGCCUAGUCUACAGGUCAAACCAAAAUGAGGGAAACAGUUCAAGUUUAAAGAUCAACAAGAACCCAAAAUUGAACAAACAAAAGAAUUAUAAAUAAGUAAACAUUCUAAAACUUAGCAAAUUUCCUAUCAACCUAAGAAACUAGCAAAUCUACGCACUUCCAGUAUAGGAUUACGAUAUAAUAAUAAGCCCUAUUAUGCGGAUUAAACAACAAAAGAGGAAUACAUUGGAGCAUACCCGAUCAGUGAAAGUGAGACCACUUUAACCCAUAAACUAUGAAAUCAUAUGAAGAAAUACCGAGAAUCAUUAAGAAUUCAUCCUACUAACACAAAAAGAGAAACACGAUAAGGAAGAAACUGAAAAAUAGGAACGAUCAUCUCAAACAAUACAUCGACAUGUGAAACAACUUGUGGAGUUACCGUGAUUAACAAAGAGAACACUAAACUUACAAUUCCAUUGACGAUGAUUGAGAAUUCACGAUGAAUUGACUUUGGAAAAAGAUCCGUGAUAAGAUUUUGAUCGAUUCAAAUAGGAUAGGAUCGAUGUUGGCGACAUGUUAAUGAAGUGAAGAGGCUCUGGUAGUUGUUCUUACGGAGAGGCGGUGGUACAUCAGAGUCUAGAGAGAGAAUUGGGUGUCAGAUGCUAAAUGCAACUAUACAAGUGUGAGAUCCGAAGGUACAUAUGUGUGGAGGCGGACCUGGUAGCCAUGGUCGAUUACGACCAAACCCUAAGCGAGGUGUCAGCUACUUUUUUGUUGGAAAAUGAAGAUCCAAUGAAGCAUAACAGGGGAGGAAAAUGAAGAUCAGGUUGUAAAUGGAUUAGACAAUCUUAAUCUGAAGUAUAAACAAGGGAGUAGAAGUUGGGAUAGAUAAAGGCAGGUUGUGAUAAAGAUGAUGGAUUUUAUGCCAAGAACAAGGGUCGCUCCCAAACACGCACAACCAACAUUCGGAUAUUAGGAAAUUAGGGGUGUUUCAUAUCAAAAAGUGAUUUUUAGAAAAGAUCUUUUUGAUUCCUAUAAAAAAAUUUUAAAAUGUGUUUGUUUAAACUUUUGAGGGGGAAGGGAAAAAAAGCAAAAGUUGCCAAAAGUCAAACAUACGUGACUUCUUAAAAGCCUCAUUUUUCUUCUUCUCAAAAAACUAUUUUAAAAGAUCUUUUUCAAUUGUCAAACAACUUUUUAAACUUUUUGAUUUUUUGGAAAAGCCAAAAAUUUCAAAAGUCAUUUUAAAAGCAAAGUCAAACACCCUCUCUAGAUUUACGUUAUUUUCUUAUUUACAAUUACCUAAAUUAAACCAUUUGAAUUUACCUCAGUCCCCUUUGCUGCAUUUUAAGAUUUUCAGUUUUGAUAUUUACAAAAAUUGUCCUUACAUGUUAUAGCCCUAGAUCUAAGUAAUUAGAUGGUCGAGAUUUGUUCUCAUGUUCUUAACCUUUCGUGUGAUCUNNNNNNNNNNNNNNNNNNNNNNNNNNNNNNNNNNNNNAUAUAUAUAAAAGAGAGAGACAGAGUAAUAGUUAUAUAUCUAUUUCACUCUCUUCCCCCUCUUUAUCCGUCUCUCUUUCUCUCACAUCUAUCUUUGUUUACCUAUCCAUCUCUUUUUUUUUCUCUCUCUAUUCUCAUGUGUGUGAAUGACAACCAUGAGGAAACAUUCUCCAACUCUACAAUUAUGUGUAUAUUGUAACCAUAAAGUAUAUAGAACCCUCAAAAGAUUUAGGGAACUCUCAAGGAUGAAGAACAUGUAUUCAUAGAAUCUAUCUCCGCUGUGGUUUAGUAGGUUUCCAUGUUUUCAUUUCUUACCCCUUCCCCUUGAAUUUGAUUUGCAUGUCUGAAUCUGAAAGAUAAAACACGAUGAAUAGGAUCUAACAUAUUGAUUACCAUUGAUGGAACUUGUCAACAUAUCUAAUUCAAAGAUCCAACACAAGAUUUAAUCACACAAAGACAAGGUGAAAUUAUUAGCUUUUUGUUCUAUAAUGGUGGUUAAUAUGACGAAAAAAGACUUAGAAAAAUUGGAAAAGUUGGGGGAGACAAGGAUGGAGAACCGAAGACUUGUGGAUCAUGGUUGAAAGCCGGUGGGCUUGAAGGUCGCUGGAAAGACAAAGCGGGGAGGAUGAAGUGGGGAUUAUGGAUAGGCUUAAUGGUGUUUUUAUUAUUUCAAAUUUAAUGUAUAUAAUAAAAAUCAAUAGAAAGUUUAACCGAAGAUAAAAUUGUGAUCUUUUGUAUUAUAUUUGUAACAAAUGAAACCAUAUGGACCACGCACAUAAUACAAAAUAAAAAAAACAACUGAACCUACAAUUUUUGUAAACCACAAAAAUAAUUGGUACUUUUGUCUUUAUUAUAUUGCAAUCAAGACCUUGAGUUUCUUAAAUUAAAAUCUUGAUGUUCGGUAUUUUUUUGGAUUCCGAGCCACUAGAAGUGAUAGUUUAUGUUGGCCUAGAUGAUAUAAUUGACCGUGUUUAAAAUGUUUAUAAUCUAGCUUUUUAACGACUUUUCUAUCUAUUGAAUAUCUUCAUUGAUGUUUAAAAAAACUCCUAUACAUUUAUCAUUUAAAACUUAAAAGUGAAACCUUUGCAAGUAGAUAAUCUUAUGGAUCUUCUCAGAUGAGCAGUUCUUGAUUGCAACCCAGAUAAAUGGAGUUGGUUGUUGGAUUCUAGUGGUAUUUUCACUAUCAAAUCGACUAGGAAAUAUCUUGAUGAUCAACGUUUGCCCAAGGGAGAAAGGUAUAUUAGAUGGAACAACUAUGUUUUGAUUAAGAUUAAUGUUUUUUGUGGACAUUUUUGUUAGACAUGCUUCCUCUUAGAAAGUAAUUUGGUGGAUAGGGGAGUGGAGUUGGGUUCGGUUUUAUGCCCUAUCUUUCUGUUCGAGAUUGAUAAUAUUAUUCAUUUAUUUUUUCAAUGUUCGGCUUGUCAAAUUUGGGGAAAAGUUGCAUGGUGGCUUGAUUUGCAGAUGCAAACUUUCUCUUUCUCUUUACUGACGGAUUUUUUACAUUGGAUUGAUGCUCGACCGGUCGUCAGGAUGGAAAGAUCGAUUGUGGAGUCGAUUUUAUGACAGCGUUAUGGGUUAUUUAGUCAUAUCAGAAUGCAGUUGUUUUUCGAUCUUCUGAAUAUAGAAA
rnacentral:lncRNA from 1 species